GCGCAGGUGGCGGAACUGGUAUACGCGCACGCUUGAGGUGCGUGUGCCGCAAGGCUUGGGGGUUCGAGUCCCCCCCUGCGCA
rnacentral:tRNA from 1 species